GGUGCGAGAUUGUGCGUGAAGAAACCACUCCUGCCGUUUAUGACUUUUUCAUAGGAGGACUCAUGUAUAAUGGAGAAGACAUUCACGGCAAUGACACUGAACAGAGAGAAUGCCUAAGGGGAAGAAAGGAUGUCCUCUAUUACCUUAUGUGCCAUUGGAGGGAAUUCACUUCACAGAGCUGGGAUUGGGACACGGGGAGGAAGAGAAAUCGCCAUGGGACGCCCAGCCGUAACAGACGGAGGAGCGUUGCGUCAGAAAGCAGAUUCAGGAGCACAGUGAAACUGGGACUGUGGGAAUUGGAAGUUGAAGUAGAGCAAACAGCGCUGAAGUAUUGCACACGCACACACAGGUCACAUACACACUGCAGCUAAAUAUAGUUGUCACUCCUGCAGAACAAAUGCUUCAUCUCGUUCUGUACACACAGAGUUCAGCCAUUUAUGGAAGUGACAAAUGCAUUCUAGAACCGAAUUCACUCCUGUAAACUUCAAGUAGCGACAACUACAUUAAACCCAUCUUUGAUAUAUAGAACCGAACUGGAAAACUAGCUCAGAAUCGUCUGCAACAAACCAACCUGGAAGCUCUAGCAAUGCUAAAGACCUGAAGAUACAUAAUUACACCAACCUUAACAUUUUUGAGAGUGACUACUGUAUUUUGUGCACCAGUGGCCAGUUGCAUAACAACUAGUGUCUUAACAACUAGUCUGCCCAACUA